CCCGCUCAGAAACUCAAAGGAAUUGACGGGGCCCGCACAAGCGGUGGAGCAUGUGGUUUAAUUCGAUGAUACGCGAGGAACCUUACCUGGGCUCAAAUGUAUGUUGACGUAUUCUGAAAGGGAUACUUCUUCGGACAAUAUACAAGGUGCUGCAUGGUUGUCGUCAGCUCGUGCCGUGAGGUGUCGGGUUAAGUCCCAUAACGAGCGCAACCCCUAUCAUUAGUUGCCAUCAGGUCAAGCUGGGGACUCUAAUGAAACUGCCUACGCAAGUAGUGAGGAAGGUGGGGAUGACGUCAAAUCAGCACGGCCCUUACGUCCAGGGCUACACACGUGCUACAAUGGCCGGUACAAAGGGCAGCUACCUGGUGACAGGAUGCUAAUCUCAAAAGCCGGUCUCAGUUCGGAUCGGAGUCUGCAACCCGACUCCGUGAAGUUGGAUUCGCUAGUAAUCGCGCAUCAGCCAUGGCGCGGUGAAUACGUUCCCGGGCCUU
rnacentral:rRNA from 1 species